GCCUGGGUGGCUCAGUCGGUUGAGCAUCUGACUUUGGCUCAGGCCAUGAUCUCAUGGUUCAUGGGUUCGAGUCCCGUGUCGGGCU